rnacentral:rRNA from 1 species
CGGUGUUCAACUGGCGUGUCCGCGGGACGUCCUGCCGGUGGGCUUAGCCCGCAAGGGCGGCCCAACUUCAAAUCCCAUCGCGGUGCUCUUCACUGAGUGUCGAGGUGGGCCGGCACGUUUACUUUGAACAAAUUAGAGUGCUUAAAGCAGGCUAAAACUUCGCCUGAAUACUGUGUGCAUGGAAUAAUGGAAUAGGACCUCGGUUCUAUUUUGUUGGUUUUCGGAACCCCGAGGUAAUGAUUAAUAGGAACGGAUGGGGGCAUUCGUAUUGCGACGUUAGAGGUGAAAUUCUUGGAUCGUCGCAAGACGGACAGAAGCGAAAGCAUUUGCCAAAAACGCUUUCAUUGAUCAAGAACGAAAGUUAGAGGUUCGAAGGCGAUCAGAUACCGCCCUAGUUCUAACCAUAAACGAUGCCAGCUAGCGAUCCGUCGACGUUCCCCCGAUGACUCGACGGGCAGCUUCCGGGAAACCAAAGCUUUUGGGUUCCGGGGGAAGUAUGGUUGCAAAGCUGAAACUUAAAGGAAUUGACGGAAGGGCACCACCAGGAGUGGAGCCUGCGGCUUAAUUUGACUCAACACGGGAAACCUCACCAGGCCCGGACACCGGAAGGAUUGACAGAUUGAGAGCUCUUUCUUGAUUCGGUGGGUGGUGGUGCAUGGCCGUUCUUAGUUGGUGGAGCGAUUUGUCUGGUUAAUUCCGAUAACGAACGAGACUCUAGCCUGCUAACUAGGCGUAUUUUCGACAUCUCAAAGGUCCGUCGUCCCGGCCCUCGGGUCGUGGGCGUGCGCGAUUUUUACUGUCGGCGUACUAUCAAUUCUUCUUAGAGGGACAGGUGGCUUCUAGCCGCACGAGAUUGAGCAAUAACAGGUCUGUGAUG